CGUACACUCCUACGGGAGGCAGCAGUGGGGAAUUUUGGACAAUGGGCGAAAGCCUGAUCCAGCCAUGCCGCGUGCAGGAUGAAGGCCUUCGGGUUGUAAACUGCUUUUGUACGGAACGAAACGGCCUUUUCUAAUAAAGAGGGCUAAUGACGGUACCGUAAGAAUAAGCACCGGCUAACUACGUGCCAGCAGCCGCGGUAAUACGUAGGGUGCAAGCGUUAAUCGGAAUUACUGGGCGUAAAGCGUGCGCAGGCGGUUAUGUAAGACAGUUGUGAAAUCCCCGGGCUCAACCUGGGAACUGCAUCUGUGACUGCAUAGCUAGAGUACGGUAGAGGGGGAUGGAAUUCCGCGUGUAGCAGUGAAAUGCGUAGAUAUGCGGAGGAACACCGAUGGCGAAGGCAUUCCCCUGGACCUGUACUGACGCUCAUGCACGAAAGCGUGGGGAGCAAACAGGAUUAGAUACCCUUGUAGUCCCA
rnacentral:rRNA from 1 species